GGCUCUUUGCUUACACAAAUAUAAAGAGUCGAGCCUGCCCAGUGAAUUUUUAAACGGCCGCGGUACUCUGACCGUGCAAAGGUAGCAUAAUCAUUUGCCUUAUAAUUGAAGGCUAGUAUGAAUGGUUUGACGAGAGCAGCACUGUCUCCUUUUUAUUUUCAAGAACUUAACUUUUAGGUGAAGAGGCCUAAAUUUUAUUGAAGGACAAGAAGACCCUAUCGAGCUUAAAAGACAUUAUAGAAGUUUAUAUAUUUUUAAAUAAAUUUUCUAUCAAGCUUUUUAGUUGGGGCGACUAAGGAACAAAAAAAGCUUCUUGCUGACAAUAAGCAGUCAUGUUUAGAUCCGAUAAUAGUCGAUCAAAGAAAUUAGUUACCGUAGGGAUAACAGCAUAAUCUCUCUUGAGAGACCUAAUCGAAAGAGGGGGUUGUGACCUCGAUGUUGGACUAGAAUAUCCUAAAGAUGCAGAAGUCUUUAAGGGUCGGUCUGUUCGACCGUUAAAAUUCUACAUGAUCUGAGUUCAGACCGGCGUGAGCCAGGUCAGUUUCUAUCCUCAAUUUAUUUAUCUGCGCCUAGUACGAAAGGAUCGGCCCAGAAAGUAUAAACUUUUAUUAAGAAUUAAAAUAAUAAUAAAAUAAAUUUUAUU
rnacentral:rRNA from 1 species